ACAUCAGGUGGUGCAACGGUCAACAUACGCUCCCGGAAAGAGUGAGAUCUGGGCUCAAAUCCCGGCUGACGCA